UUCAGUAUGGCUCCGAAUAUAUAUGGCAAUCUUCCAUAUGUCACAUUUUUGUGCACAUUUGCCCGCUAUUCAUUAAUAUCUGCGGCGUUGGAAGAAAGUCAUGAUAGCCAAUCAUUUCAAGAGCUGGAAAUGGUAAAACAAUCGCUUUUGAUGUGGAUAUAGCCACUGGUGAUUGUAGUUUUCCUGCGCAUGAUUUGUACUUCUGCGGCCACAAAUGUUGUUCUAAAAUAAAACAAAAUCACUAACACAUAAUUUUUUUCAUUCAUUAAAGCUACCAUUUAUAUGUAUGUUACAUAAUUGAUCAUUAUUUGAAUAAGAAUAAUUAUAAAAUCUCGUAAAUUUUUUAUUAUUGAUCUGUAAGUACUUGUUAAUUCUUAUAGAUAAAAAUUUACUGUUCAUAAGUAAUUUUUGACUUAUGAAUUAUGAUUGAUUUUAAUUAACGUUUUCUUAUUUUCGAGAUAAUUUUACCUGCUUGUUAUUUAAUUGUAAGGAAAGAAAAAGAAAAAAAA